rnacentral:lncRNA from 1 species
GGGAACCAGGCCUGUGAUUCUAGGACCUAAUAGGGCAAGUGUAACUCUAAAUCAAGGAAUUAACGGACAGCUACCCUGAAUAGAUCAGUCCUACUUCCCCUCCUGUUCUCUGUUCCCCCUGCCUUCACCAAGUCCUUCUCUAGUGAGCCUGAGGCAUGUUCCCUUUAUCCUGAGAAUUUCCAUCUCUAUGCCAGACUCAAUCCUAGAAAAGACCAGGAAAACUCAACCUAUUCCUUAUGGCCUGGAUAACAGCCCCCUAAGAGUAGGGCACUAGUCUCCCCUUGACCCCCGUUCCCCAUAUGGUGCUUCUUCUGAACUUGA